UCCUUAACAAGGCCAUUGAAAUCAAUCUUUAAUGGUGGCUCUUAUAUGUUAAAUUUUCUUUAGAUUUGUUUGAGACAAAAUCCUGAAAAUCUGAGAGUUCACUGAAAGUACAUUUUUUUCUACUCAAUAUCUAACUGAAUUUUGCUAGAUAUAAUAUUUUUGAUGGAAGACUUAGUUCUUUUUAUUGUUGAUAUAUAAUAUUCCAGGACAUCUAGUCUUUUAUUGUAGCUGCUGAUAAAUUCUGUACAAUUCCAAAAUGUUUGAAUUGUUUUUUAUUGUUUGGUUUUUGUAAAAUUUUCUUUUUGAUCUGGGGGUUUUGAAAUUUAACAUUAAUAUUUCUAUGUAUUUUCCUUGUAGAUUCUCUUUGAGAUGGUGUAGAGGACAUACCAGACCCAACCCUGGGCUCUAGACUAGCUUAUGAAAAUUAUUAACAAAUAUUUUCAACAUCACUAACAUGAAUAUAUGCUGGGCCCACAGAAGGAACAGUUACCUUGUAAACUGUUCCCUUCUUAUGGGCCCAGAACUCUGAAAAAAGGAUUCUUACAAGAUGUUAAGUCAGUAGAGUUGACUUAAUAGUUCUUUAGUUCAGUACAUGUACUUAGUAUUUAAUAUAGUUCCACAAGAUUCACACCUAUGAUAAUGGAGUAUAUAACAGCCAGCAAAGGCUGAGAAAGAUUCAUUCCAUCGUCUACCUUUAUAGUGGCUGGAGGCUGAAGCACAAACCUUUGGAUUUGGAGAGAUUCAUUCACUUCAUCUCACACCACCUUGGUGGCAGGCUCUCCUCCUUCACUUCCUCACUGAAACCAAGACUCCGGAAGGCCUCCAGAAAACCAGCGGAGCCCCAAGUGAAGGAGAUGGGACUUUGAAGGAGACAAUAAAGGAUUUGGACUUUCACACCUGGCUGUACUUGUGGUGAUUACUGAACUGAAAGGAAGGCUGCUCCCAGAGACCCCAAGAAAACCGAAUCAGAGAACAUUACAUUCUCUGAACUCAGACUUUACAACCUUCUUCAAGACUGGAUCUCAUUAAAGAAGGGAAAGGGACCUGUAUGUGCCAAAAUGUUUGUGGAAACCCUUUUUGUAGUGGCUACUGGAAAUUGAAUGGAUGCCCAUCAAUUGGAGAAUGGUUGGAUAAAUUGUAGAAUUUGAAUGUUAUGGAAUAUUAUUGUUCUGUAAGAAAUGACCAACAGGAAGAAUACAGAGAGGCUUGGAGAGACUUACGUGAACUGAUGCUAAGUGAAAUGAACAGAACCAGGAGAUCAUUAUAUACUUCAACAACAAUACUGUAUAGGAUACAUUCUGAUGGAAGUGGAUAUCUUCAACAAAGAAAAGAUCCAAUUCAGUUCCAAUUGAUCAAUGAUGGACAGAAUCAGCUACACCCAGAGAAGGAAUACUGGGAAAUGAAUGUGGACCACUUGUAUUUUUGUUUUUCUUCCCAGGUUAUUUUUAGAAUCCAAUUUUUCUUGUGCAACAAGAGAACUGUAUGGAUCUGCACACAUAUAUUGUAUCUAGGAUAUACCUUAACAUGUUGAACAUGUAUAAGACUGCCUGCCAUCUAGGGUAGGAGGUAGAGGGAGGGAAGGGAAAAGUUGGAACAGAAAUGGGUGCAAGGGACAAUAUUGUAAAAAUUACCCAUGCAUAUAUACUGUCAAUAAAAAGUUAUAAUUAAAAUUUUUUUUAAAAAA